rnacentral:rRNA from 2 species
CACGCUGUAAACGAUGGAUGCUAGAUGUCGGGGAGUAUUCUUCGGUGUCGUAGUUAACGCGUUAAGCAUCCCGCCUGGGGAGUACGGUCGCAAGGCUGAAACUCAAAGAAAUUGACGGGGGCCCGCACAAGCGGUGGAGUAUGUGGUUUAAUUCGAUGCAACGCGAAGAACCUUACCUAGGUUUGACAUCCACGGAACCCUCCCGAAAAGGAGGGGUGCCCUUCGGGGAGCCGUGUGACAGGUGC